AAUGGUGCAGCGGCCAUCUUGAGAACGCCUGAUUUUGUCCAAUCUCGGAAGCUAAGCGUGAUUGGGUUUGGUUAGUACUUCGAUGGGAGACUAUACUGGGAAUACCGGGUGUAACAGUG
rnacentral:rRNA from 1 species